GACGAACGCUGGCGGCGUGCCUAAUACAUGCAAGUAGAACGCUGAAGGAGGAGCUUGCUUCUCUGGAUGAGUUGCGAACGGGUGAGUAACGCGUAGGUAACCUGCCUGGUAGCGGGGGAUAACUAUUGGAAACGAUAGCUAAUACCGCAUAAGAGUAGAUGUUGCAUGACAUUUACUUAAAAGGUGCAAUUGCAUCACUACCAGAUGGACCUGCGUUGUAUUAGCUAGUUGGUGAGGUAACGGCUCACCAAGGCAACGAUACAUAGCCGACCUGAGAGGGGGAUCGGCCACACGGGGACGGGGACACGGCCCAGGCUCCUACGGGAGGCAGCAGUAGGGAAUCUUCGGCAAUGGAGGGAAGUCUGACCGAGCAACGGCGCGUGAGUGAAGAAGGUUUUCGGAUCGUAAAGCUCUGUUGUAAGAGAAGAACGGGUGUGAGAGUGGAAAGUGCAUACUGUAAGGGUAUGUUACAAGAAGGGGACGGUAAAUUAGGU
rnacentral:rRNA from 1 species